AGCUUUGCGCUGGGCGCAAUGACGCAACUCAUGAGGUUCUAACCGAGGCGCAUCAAUUGCUAGUUGAAAAUUAUUUUCAAUCGAGCUUGAAUUGAGCUUAAAAUCGAGCUUGAGUUUUAAUUGAGCUUUUGAAAUUUUCUUGAGU